GGGGGCAAGUAAAUACGUGAGAUAGACAUCUAUAAACAUUAGUAGGAAAUGAGCAAAGGGGGUUACUGAUUAGCUUUCUUCCCAUAGGAAACUCCUAGACCAUAUUGGAGAAACGUGAGGAGCCCUCUGCAGGAAGCGAAGCUGAAUUUCACAAAUCUUCCCUUUCUGACGUCUCCCGAAUUUCUAGGAAUGCCCCUUCCCUGUUACUAUAUUUGGAGGUAGUUUCUAGGAAAAAAAUAAUUUUCGGACGGUCUUGGACUCACCACACCUACUCUCGGAAGACUCUGAGCCCCAGGUCUCCUGGCACGUCCCCCGCAGAGUUGAGGAGCCCCCGGCUCAGGCUCAGCAACUCCCGGCGCAGACGGCACGUCUUUGUAGCACUGUUGGAGGAAUGAGCAUGGAGAAGGAGUGGAAAGGGGAGAGGUGUCUUUGUGGCAACAAUGAGUGAAUCUUCUCUAGUUUC